CGUUUUUCGGUGCAUGAUUUCCAUUUUGGAGAUUUGAAUCAGGGGGGAUAGAGCCAGGCAUGCAUAUAGUUGAUGACCUCAUUAAACACUCACUUUUCACCCAAAACCUGGAGAAAAAAAAUUACAUUUCAGGUCAUCAGAAAUUAUUUCGUACAAGAAGUUGGUAUACCAUCGUGCUUGAUAUUCAAUAAGAGGAGCUUGAUUCACUAUAAACAACAUGAAAUAUUCUUGAGCAUCGAAGCCUUGACAAAACGGCCAAUUCUCGCAGACACAAUGAAAUGAAUCAAACAAAUUUAAGUGAACAUUGAAGAGUCAAAAGAGCUUGAUGAAAAGAUUGCCUACAAUCAGACACAAUAGACAAAUGGCGUUUGUAGAAGAUUAUUCUAUUGAGCUUAUAACAGCUCGUUAAAGAAUUGUAUACAGAGCACGAAUCGUGGGUUCUGGUUGUGAAAACCUUUGUAAAAAAACAUUAGCGAUACAAAUCUGUCAGAUAUAUGGAGCAAUAUCUGCUACAUAUCACGAUUAGAUACGCUUAUAGAUUCGUUUACAAGAACUAGAAUAACUAUUUAUACAAAGCCAAGUAUACAGAAGCUCCCACUGCCUGAGCUUUAGCUCAGGCAUCUCCAAUAUUGUAAAAUAUGUUUUAAUGGUGGAACAUUCAUUGUAUGUUAAAUAAUAAACUCAAUGACAGAUUAUUUUAGUUACAGAUCUAAUACUGUCAUUGUAUAUCAGCACUGUCGGUUGUGUUUAUAACUCACGUUAAAAUUGUUCUCUUUGGAUGAAAAAGAAUUCGAAUAAUAAUUAAAAUACAUCUAAUUCUGGCACUUAAAAAUGACAAUUAUCCAUUGUCUAUUUGUUCCCCAAAAGUUUGAAAGUGAUAUUAUCACAAUUGUAGGAGGAUUUCAGUUCAACUCUUAUCUGUCAGUAUCAAAGUGACUGAAGAUCAGAUAUUUAGUUAUCAGUACAGUCGAUAAUAGAUUUUUUCAGCACUGUUGAGUUUAAAGCGCAAGAAACUUUUAAAUGAAGGAUCGAUGGCAUACCUACAAGUAUAUGACACGAAAUCCCUUGACCCUAGAUCGCCUUGCAGAACUAUAGUUCACCACUGACAGUUCAAUGAUCAUUUGAAUAUUUGUUACGUGGUGACGUAUUGACGUUCAGCUAGUUGCGAGGUUAUACACGCUGGACACAUGUCAAAUACAUAGCUAACAUCGUACUCAUACAAUGCUUAUACUACACAUAAACACUUUUUGAAAUGAUCGAACAAUUUCCAAGGCAACAGCGCGAGUACGAAAAGCAGCGGUUGUAAGGCGCAUGAGCUACUAGACAUUAAAAAUUAUGAGAAAAUGGAUCAUUCGACUUACAUAAAAAGCUUAUUAGAUGACGAAGACCGAGAAUCCAAUUAUAUGCUGAAAAAUUUAUAAUAAGGUUAUGGUCUUCAUUAUAGGACUUAUGAUAUAAUGUACCGUAGCAAUACCACGACCGUGAAUAAAAAGUCUCGCGCGAGGCACAGGUGUCUUCUUUGUGAAGAAUCUACUACAAGAGCAUCGAUGCAACCCUAGGUAAACACUGCGAACAGAUAUUGGUCGAUAUUGUACAACUGCAUCGGUACUUAAAAUGUAAUCAAAAAAUCUACACCAAUCUUAUUCGCCCCUAUACCCACCAUGAUCCAAUCUGCAAGAAUAGCUAUUAUUUUAUUUUCAUGGAAGAACAAUCCUUUCGUAAUUGAAAAAUAAUAAGAAAAUAGACACAUAGCUUACCCAAUGUAAGUAAUGAUCAAGAAAUGAAUGAAGGAAUAAUAAAGUACGAUAUUUGACGUGUCUUGCUUGUAUAAAAUUCUUCGAGGUAAAGAUAAUUCACACAGUAAUACUGUACAGCGGAAUUGUAACGUCGACUAACGUCCUGUGUAUAGUUUUCUUAACUUAAGUAAUAAUUUUAGCUACCUCUAGUACAUAAUACUAUAUACAAA